AGGCGCGUAGCUCAGUUGGUAGAGCACUACCUUGACACGGUAGGGGUCUGCGGUUCGAGUCCGCACGUGCCUA
rnacentral:tRNA from 1 species